AUUGGGACUGAGAUACGGCCCAGACUCCUACGGGAGGCAGCAGUGGGGAAUAUUGCACAAUGGGCGCAAGCCUGAUGCAGCGACGCCGCGUGCGGGAUGACGGCCUUCGGGUUGUAAACCGCUUUUGACUGGGAGCAAGCCCUUCGGGGUGAGUGUACCUUUCGAAUAAGCACCGGCUAACUACGUGCCAGCAGCCGCGGUAAUACGUAGGGUGCAAGCGUUAUCCGGAAUUAUUGGGCGUAAAGGGCUCGUAGGCGGUUCGUCGCGUCCGGUGUGAAAGUCCAUCGCUUAACGGUGGAUCCGCGCCGGGUACGGGCGGGCUUGAGUGCGGUAGGGGAGACUGGAAUUCCCGGUGUAACGGUGGAAUGUGUAGAUAUCGGGAAGAACACCAAUGGCGAAGGCAGGUCUCUGGGCCGUCACUGACGCUGAGGAGCGAAAGCGUGGGGAGCGAACAGGAUUAGAUACCCUGGUAGUCCACGCCGUAAACGGUGGAUGCUGGAUGUGGGGACCAUUCCACGGUCUCCGUGUCGGAGCCAACGCGUUAAGCAUCCCGCCUGGGGAGUACGGCCGCAAGGCUAAAACUCAAAGAAAUUGACGGGGGCCCGCACAAGCGGCGGAGCAUGCGGAUUAAUUCGAUGCAACGCGAAGAACCUUACCUAGGCUUGACAUGCACGGCGGCACUGCAGAGAUGUGGUGGCAUUUGGUUGGUCGUGUGCAGGUGGUGCAUGGUUGUCGUCAGCUCGUGUCGUGAGAUGUUGGGUUAAGUCCCGCAACGAGCGCAACCCUCGCCCUGUGUUGCCAGCACGUCGUGGUGGGAACUCACGGGGGACCGCCGGGGUCAACUCGGAGGAAGGUGGGGAUGACGUCAGAUCAUCAUGCCCCUUACGUCCAGGGCUUCACGCAUGCUACAAUGGCCGGUACAACGGGAUGCGACACCGUGAGGUGGAGCGGAUCCCUUAAAACCGGUCUCAGUUCGGAUUGGAGUCUGCAACCCGACUCCAUGAAGGCGGAGUCGCUAGUAAUCGCGGAUCAGCAACGCCGCGGUGAAUGCGUUCCCGGGCCUUGUACACACCGCCCGUCAAGUCAUGAAAGUGGGUAGCACCCGAAGCCGGUGGCCCAACCUUUUGGGGGGAGCCGUCUAAGGUGAGACUCGUGAUUGGGACUAAGUCGUAACAAGGUAGCCGUACCGGAAGGUGCGGCUG
rnacentral:rRNA from 1 species